rnacentral:lncRNA from 1 species
AUGGGUAUGGAUACCCCAAAUUUUAUUCGAAUUCGAAUUCAAAUUCGAACAGAACGAAUUUAUCAGAUACUAAACGGAUAUAGUUUCAUAUAUGGAUAUCAAAAACGAAACCCGAUAGAUUUGGAAUCGGAUAUGGAUUUUGACUAUACUCGACCCGAACCAGAAUCCAAUCCGAACCCGAAUUGAUUUUACAUUAUAUAAUAAUAAUACAUAUAAUUGUUUGAUAUUAUUUUUGAAUUUGUAUUGUAAAAAUUUAGAUUUAAUGUAAUAUAUUUUGAAAUAUUGUAAAGAGAAAUAAUUGUUUCGGGUUCAGAUUUUCGGUUUCAGGUUGGGUUCGUGUUUCAGAUUUUUGAUCGGGUUCAGAUUUGAGAUAUGGAUUUUUAAAAUCCAUCGGAUUUGGGUUCCGAUUCAGAUUUCGGGCUUAAUAGUCGGAUUUGGGUUCUUAAACAUUCGCCCCGAAUCGGACCCGUUGACAUUUCUAACUGACAAAGGCUCCUCUCGAUUGAAAAUUAUUGUCUGCACCUGCUGUAUGUGUAAUUUCAUACACAUCAAUAAAUUUGUACAUAGAGACGUCAAAAAUAAAUUUUAAAUUAAUAUAAUUUAUUUUACAGUAUUCCAAACUGUUUGUAUAUCAAAAUUAUAAAAUUAAAGAUUUAUAUUUAUUAAAAUAAGAUUAUUAUUAUUAUUAUUAUUAUUAUUAUUAUUAUUAUGUUGAUUUUAUCAUGUGCGGGAUGUAUAGAAAAUAUCUAAUAAAUACAUGGCCAUAAAUUAUGCCGAUGGCAACGAGCAGUCGCCGUCACAACACCCACAGCAGCGCCAAUUGGCAUUCGCUAAAUAUUCGUAGCUUUUCUUUCCAACGGUGACAAAUUACGCCAAACUUGUGUGUUUCCAUCGGAAGGACAAAGAAACUUCUAAAAAAGGAGCAGCUACAGUAGGGUGAUGGUUCAACUAACUCUGCAUUCGCUUGUAGUGUGUGACACAUCCGUGGGGGUCUUAACUGCAGGACAAGCUAGCCAGCAUGAAUUUGUUUCCAAAUUUUCGUCUCUAAUUAAAGGACUAAAACUGGAUGUAGGGUCAAAUACAACUUCCACCCGUCUAAAUUUUAAAAAUAUUCAUAUUUGCCCACUGAAUAAAUCUUGUCCAAAUGUUGAAAUUAGUCACACAAAAAUUUAUAUUAUAUAUAUCAACCGAAAGCGAUAAAUAUUGGCCAAAUGAUUAAAAAUUAAUAAAGAAUGCAUAUCAAUAAUAUGGUGGGGCUUUUAAAACUAAUAUUUCGAUCUUACGAAUGAGAAAAAAAAAAAAAAAAUUUGAUAGUUGAAAAUUAAUUAUCGUAACACUGCAGUCAAUUUUACAGACAAAAGUGAUUUUCAGCAUCAUGAAGACUCAUUUGUACCACUGGACUGCUUCCAUCCUUUAUUAAUUUUUCACUGUAUAGCCUUAGUCACUUUAAAUUAACAAAAUAUAAUUUAAGUAACUAAUUAUAAAAUUUAUAAAAAAAAAAAACUGCUUUGCCAUGUAAAUUUCUAAAAAUAAGAUAGCUAUCUAUACAUGAGCGAAAAUUUUGAUAUUUUUGAUACAUUUGACUCUUAGGGUGCGUUUGGUUUACAUUAUGGAAGAUUAUUAGAAAUAAAAGAUAUCCGAGAAUCUUAUUCCUAUUCAUUCUAUUACUAAGAAUGUGAAAUUUCUGUGUUUGGUUCGCACGGUAAUAUUAAUUAGCCAUAUUAUUUAAUAUUACAAAAAAUAUAUAAUUAAUUAAUUUAUUUAUUUAUUUAAUUUUAGAUAAUGUUACCAAAAGUUUCAACAUCUUUUUAGAAAGAAGGGAGAGAGAGUAUAAGUUAGAGAGAGAGAGAGCAUAAUUAAAAAAAAAGAAAGAAAAAUAUAGUCGAAAUUAGAGAGAGUGAGAGAGUUGAAAUUUUAGAAAGAGAGAGAGAGAGAAAGCUUAGUUUAGAGAGAGAAAAAAAAAGUUGAAUUUUAGAAAGAAAAAUAAGUUUAGAAAGAGAUAUAAGGUUAGAGUGUAAAGAAAAAUAAUAUCAAUUAGCCGACGGGUAGGAAGAAAGAAAGAGAUUAGAUAUAUUAUGAUUAUCCCAAUUCAUUAAUAUGAGGAUACCCACCCUCCCUCAAGGGAAUGAGAUUAGUACUUUAGGGUGAAUCUUAUUCCCAAGUGAAUCUAAUAUUACCAACUACAUUACUUAGUGCGUUUAGCCAAACACCGUUAUAUUUUUUUAUUCACAUUGGAUUACUAGUAAUCUUUAAAAAAUAGCGCGAACCAAACGCACCCUUAAAAAUACAUAUAUACAGUCUGCAUUUAGUCUCCCUCCUUUGAAGAAAUCUCAUAAAAAGAUUAUAAAGCUUAACUAAAUUUUUGAUUCGUACCUAGUCUCCGAUUAUCUAUACGAUAUACACUGUCUACACAAUCUAAAAUCUAUAUAUGUAAUUCACAACAAAAGAGAAAACAAAGAAAGGAAAAGUAACGUCUCCUUCCACAACUGAGUUCCUAUAUAUAUAUAUCACUAGUGAAGGCCCGCGCUUCGCCGCGGAAAAUUUACGCAAUUUUUAAAAUAUUUUGGACAAAAUUUUUUAAUUUUUUAAUUUUUAAAUCUAAUUUAAAAUUUUAAAGUUCAAAAAAUUUAAUAUAAAAUUAUAUAUAAUAAAUAAAUAUAUAUUUAUAAAUAAAAUUAUAUAUAGAGGAAUGGUCCAUGGUACACAGGGUAACCAAUGGAUUGUACACAUGUUCACAGAUAAUAGGAAUGUCAAUGGGUAUGGAUACCCCAAAUUUUAUUCGAAUUCGAAUUCAAAUUCGAACAGAACGAAUUUAUCAGAUACUAAACGGAUAUAGUUUCAUAUAUGGAUAUCAAAAACGAAACCCGAUAGAUUUGGAAUCGGAUAUGGAUUUUGACUAUACUCGACCCGAACCAGAAUCCAAUCCGAACCCGAAUUGAUUUUACAUUAUAUAAUAAUAAUACAUAUAAUUGUUUGAUAUUAUUUUUGAAUUUGUAUUGUAAAAAUUUAGAUUUAAUGUAAUAUAUUUUGAAAUAUUGUAAAGAGAAAUAAUUGUUUCGGGUUCAGAUUUUCGGUUUCAGGUUGGGUUCGUGUUUCAGAUUUUUGAUCGGGUUCAGAUUUGAGAUAUGGAUUUUUAAAAUCCAUCGGAUUUGGGUUCAGAUUCAGAUUUCGGGCUUAAUAGUCGGAUUUGGGUUCUUAAACAUUCGCCCCGAAUCGGACCCGUUGACAUUUCUAACUGACAAAGGCUCCUCU